GACUUAUAUUCUGUAGCAAGGUUAACCGAAUAGGGGAGCCGGAGGGAAACCGAGUCUUAACCGGGCGUUAAGUUGCAGGGUAUAGACCCGAAACCCGGUGAUCUAGCCAUGGGCAGGUUGAAGGUUGGGUAACACUAACUGGAGGACCGAACCGACUAAUGUUGAAAAAUUAGCGGAUGACCUGUGGCUGGGGGUGAAAGGCCAAUCAAACCGGGAGAUAGCUGGUUCUCCCCGAAAGCUAUUUAGGUAGCGCCUCGUGAAUUCAUCUCCGGGGGUAGAGCACUGUUUCGGCUAGGGGGCCAUCCCGGCUUACCAACCCGAUGCAAACUGCGAAUACCGGAGAAUGUUAUCACGGGAGACACACGGCGGGUGCUAACGUCCGUCGUGAAGAGGGAAACAACCCAGACCGCCAGCUAAGGUCCCAAAGUCAUGGUUAAGUGGGAAACGAUGUGGGAAGGCCCAGACAGCCAGGAUGUUGGCUUAGAAGCAGCCAUCAUUUAAAGAAAGCGUAAUAGCUCACUGGUCGAGUCGGCCUGCGCGGAAGAUGUAACGGGGCUAAACCAUGCACCGAAGCUGCGGCAGCGACACUGUGUGUUGUUGGGUAGGGGAGCGUUCUGUAAGCCUGUGAAGGUGUGUCGUGAGGCAUGCUGGAGGUAUCAGAAGUGCGAAUGCUGACAUAAGUAACGAUAAAGCGGGUGAAAAGCCCGCUCGCCGGAAGACCAAGGGUUCCUGUCCAACGUUAAUCGGGGCAGGGUGAGUCGACCCCUAAGGCGAGGCCGAAAGGCGUAGUCGAUGGGAAACGGGUUAAUAUUCCCGUACUUGGUGUUACUGCGAAGGGGGGACGGAGAAGGCUAUGUUGGCCGGG
rnacentral:rRNA from 1 species